rnacentral:rRNA from 1 species
AUACGGAGGAUCCGAGCGUUAUCCGGAUUUAUUGGGUUUAAAGGGUGCGCAGGCGGGAGAUUAAGUCGGCGGUGAAAUUUUGCAGCUCAACUGUCAAAGUGCCUUUGAAACUGGUUUUCUUGAGUGUAGAUGAAGUAGGCGGAAUUUGUGGUGUUGCGGUGAAAUGCAUAGAUAUCACGAGGAACUCCGAUUGCGCAGGCAGCUUACUAAACUACUACUGACGCUCAGGCACGAAGGCGUGGGGAUCAAACAGGAUUAGAUACCCUGGUAGUCCACGCAGUAAACGAUGAUUACUAGCUGUUUGCGAUACAAUGUAAGCGGCUGAGCGAAAGCGUUAAGUAAUCCACCUGGGGAGUACGUUCGCAAGAAUGAAACUCAAAGGAAUUGGCGGGG